GUUGGGAAUAUUGGACAAUGGGGGAAACCCUGAUCCAGCAAUGCCGCGUGAGUGAUGAAGGCCUUCGGGUUGUAAAGCUCUUUCAGCAGGGACGAAGGGUAACUUGACGGUACCUGCAGAAGAAGCACCGGCUAACUACGUGCCAGCAGCCGCGGUAAUACGUAGGGUGCAAGCGUUGUUCGGAAUCAUUGGGCGUAAAGCGCGUGUAGGCGGCCACUUAAGUCUGGUGUGAAAGCCCGGGGCUUAACCCCGGAAGUGCAUUGGAUACUGAGUGGCUAGAGGGCGAGAGAGGGAAGCGGAAUUCCUGGUGUAGGGGUGAAAUCCGUAGAUAUCAGGAGGAACAUCGGUGGCGAAGGCGGCUUCCUGGCUCGUUUCUGACGCUGAGACGCGAAAGCGUGGGGAGCAAACAGGAUUAGAUACCCCUGUAGUCC
rnacentral:rRNA from 1 species